GACGAACGCUGGCGGCGUGCUUAACACAUGCAAGUCGAGCGGUAAGGCCCUUUCGGGGGUACACGAGCGGCGAACGGGUGAGUAACACGUGGGUGACCUGCCCUCAGCUCUGGGAUAAGCCCGGGAAACUGGGUCUAAUACCGGAUAUGACUCCAUGACGCAUGUUGUGGGGUGGAAAGCCUUGUGCGGCUGAGGAUGGGCCCGCGACCUAUCAGCUUGUUGGUGGGGUGAUGGCCACCAAGGCGACGACGGGUAGCCGGCCUGAGAGGGCGACCGGCCACACUGGGACUGAGAUACGGCCCAGACUCCUACGGGAGGCAGCAGUGGGGAAUCUUGCGCAAUGGGCGAAAGCCUGACGCAGCGACGCCGCGUGAGGGAUGACGGCCU
rnacentral:rRNA from 1 species